AUGUGCCAAACCCAAGAAGCCUCAUACAAAAUCAGAUUUAAUCAUACACCUAGGUCUAUUUCAAAUCACAAUAAAGAUGGUUCACAAAAGACCAAAAAUAAAAAAAGAGAGAUCCAAAACUCAACAACAAUAUUAGUUUUCAAGCAAGCAAUCACAGGCCUCUUUCCUGUACUACAAAUCACAAAAAAAAAAGGAAUUUGGUUCACAGUAAGAGGAUGCAAUUCACUACUCAGUGCAACUCAUUUUCACAUCACAGUUCUGUCAAAACAGAACACAAAUAGAAUCACAUAA